rnacentral:misc_RNA from 1 species
GCUUGGCAGUCUCUCGUCGCGACUCGCGGAGAUCGAACGCAGUUCGAGUGACAUCGAAACCUCGAGCGGAUCUGCGAGCGGAAAUAGAUCGUUUUCGUGCUGUCGCGAGAUAACGACGAUCGAUUCGAACAGCUUGCUCCAGUGAGUUACAGCGUGACUGUCGCGGAAUCUUUCUUUCGCUGUCUUCGACGCAUUCGCUUGCGUAAUCGAGAUUGUACUGAAUUUACUCGGCAACGAGGAUCGGAAAAUUUUUCAUUCGGAUAUGAAAAUAGUGGUAGUGUGACCUUGCUUCAUAUAAGAGUUACUGGAGAAAAUUGAUUGGAAGCUCGUUGUGCAGCUGGGAUUAUCGAUUCCUUAUCGCUGUUUAACAAUAUAUCGAUAAUAUCGUUAAGAUAUUGUCAAAUAUGUAGGGUACUCAGUGAACUCUAAUUUCAUCGUUGGAUAUUCAUAUUUAUUGUUCAACAUUUAUAUACAUAUUACGUUUUCGACAGAAUUUGUCAUCUAUUAAGACGGUUUCAUAGAAUGGUAUUUUUCGGGAUUUGGAGGUUUGAUGAAUUUGUAAGUGCAGUAUAGGAAUUUGAUUUUGUAUCUGAAAUAUUUCUGAUUUUGAGAAGUGAAGAAUUUAGGUAUACUUUAGUUUGGUAAAUUAGGAUCAAUGUUUAUUAAUAGUGAAAUAUUAAGUAGUCUUUCUCUUGGUCUCUCCUCUAAUUCAUCUUCAAUCCUCCAAUAAGAAAAUCUCAGAUAGACUUCAAAUUCUCUUGGAUCCUAAAUUCUCGUACACAAGUCUCGUUCUCUUAAGAAAUAUUGCCAAAUAUGGUCAACAUGGUCCUCCAAUUUGGACAUCUCAAAAUUUAUUGAAAAUUUGAAAGCAUCCACAAAAAUCGAACAUCAAAAAUUGUGAAUUUAUUGCGUUUACAUCCAAAGAGACCUACGUUGCACCCAAGUGAACAUGAACAUGUGAAAAGUGAACAGAGAAAAUGAUGAAUGAAAUUGGUGACUUAUGGAGGCCGAGAGGAUAAACGUUGUUUAUAGUGGAAGCGAUUAUUUCGAAAGAGUGUGGGUAACACGUGAAGCGAGCUCGAGCCAGCAUUUUCGAUCGUGAUCGUUGCGCAAGAAACGCAGGCUGGCGAACGCUUCCGCGUGGUCGCGAUCGUGUCCGCAUAGAAAUGCAAUCGACAACCGACAGGCGUCUCGAAGCCGGCUAGAACACAGGAGCCACGUGCAUUCCAUGACGACCUCGAUGAUCAUGGUGGCGGUGAUACGUGACUUCCCCGGCCGGAAGCGGACGUUUCGAUUUCCUUCGCGAGACAUCGCCGCGUGAUGCGCGCAACCCAAAAUUGGUUGAUCGAAAAUAAUAACUCGCCUUAUCGGACCCCUCCCUCUACUGCCGCCAAUAUUAUCGACCGAUAACGCCGCCUCUGAUAAAGUUUAAGUGUUUCCACGUAGCUCCGCUCUUUCACUUCUCGGAAUGUUGUUGUUUUUUAGACAGAAUUCUUUUGACUGAUCUUUCUGUAGGUAUAUUUAUUGGGGAGUGAUGGAGUAUUUGUCUAAAUCUCGAACCUUUUUACUGAUCUUAGUGAAACCUGAUUACUGAUCGUGGACCAUAUGUGUUCGUAUGUGAAGACAUUCGUGAUGUCACAGGUGAAUCAUCUCGUGAGCCAAUCUUUUGAAGCACGAACAUAAUAGAAAUAUUUUUGACAGCUCAGUUGGAAACCUUCAAGAGUUUCGACUCGGAAUUCGAAUAGAAUUAUUACAGAGUUGAAAGGCAUCUUUCUACACUUUGAGAUCGUUAGCACUUUCUCCUCUGGAAGGAUUUUCUCUGUCCAGCAUAAGCUUACCCACGGUUUAUCCUUCCAAAACUUUGAACCAUUUUCGAACGGUCUUUCGUAGAACGUCGGAAACAAACGGUGAAACGUUUAUGCGACCCGACAGAAUUCCUUUGCGAGGAAAACAUACUCCGUGUUUGAACAGCUGUUAGGAGGGUGGUUAUGUUGCCGAAGACCGUAGAUAACGAUUCUCGCAAUCUGUCGAACGGUAACAAAGCUGUUUGUGUUGGUCCUUUCGCAAAAUUCUUAUCGUGCAUCAGUUUUAAGUGCAUUUGUGGGUUUUUCUUGGUAGUUCUCUUUUGUCGUAAACCUUGACCAUUUUAACGCGGGUUGCCACGUGAAAAGAAAGUUUCAAGAAGCCACGUAUAUUAGUACCUCUACCUAUAAUGCACAUUUUGUGUCAUUUCGAUGAUAGCAAUUUAGACAUUUCCUCAAUCUGUUCGAUACAGAUAUUAUUCAGCAAUCACAUUGCAAAGUAAUACGUCUCGACUGUUCCUUUUUCGCGUGUACAUUGUAGUAUCUGGGAUUUCGUUUGCACAGAUAAUGUAAAUGUUACUGACUCAGCGAUAUUUUGAAUGUUACAUAACAUUUAAAUAAAACGAGUGUCAGACAGCGAAAGAUAGAUUCAUUUACGAAGUCAAUUUAUAAAAUAUUCACGAAUGUUAAUACAAAAAUUACAGUGCCCAAUGAUUUUGUGAUAUUGAGUCUCAUUUGGAUAUUUGGAGUCAGAAAGCAGUGUUAUCGAUCGGUCAUCGAUCAAAUUGUUACCCGUGAUUGGUGUGAAUCGAUAAAGAUUUAUGAAUGAGCGUCGACAGAGGUCUGAACAUGCUGCACAAGCAUGGAAGCAACAAAACGAAGAGUAGCAUGCUACACAGAGGCAGGGACGCCUUUCUGAAAUCCAUGUCCGAGUUCCCAGUGGAGGGAGGGGACAACGGUGACAUGCACACUGUCAUGGAGAACUUCCAGAAGAAAAACAAUCUGGUGACAGGCAGGAGCCAUGUCAGCCACCACCCUCAGGUCACUUCCUCGUCACAGAUGCUGACGACGAACCAGAGCCAGAGCAGCAGUAGCUCGAGCAGGGUAGCCAAAUCCUCACAGAGGAUUCUUACCUCGUCCUCGUCGAGUGAGAUGAAAGCUAGCUCCAUGAAGAGCGACCUAAGGGAACUUCAACGUGGCAUUUCUGAAAUGAAGAAUAACAUAUCGACUAACUUCUCGCAACGAUUACGCAGCAGUAUGGAGAACCUCGUAGACAGGGACGGAAACGGAGCCGAGGAAGGCGAUUUGACGGAGCCGUUGGUGACGUUUCCAGAUCCAGACACGCCGCCCCCUGUCACGGGAGCUGUCACACUGCCGGGUGGAUCACCCUCGCAGCUCACCACAUUGAAUUCGCUCAACAAUCUUCACAACAUGAGCCCACCGAUCAGUAUGUCGAACAUUUCGAACAUGACGAAUUUACCUGCUGGACAGGAGACGAUGAAGUUCGAGCAGAAGAAAAUGACCAGCGCCUCCAAAACGAAGGUUGUCACAGACGGUUUCAGCGCCGAAAAGGCGACUGCAAAUAGCGCCGAGAUGAGAGCUUUACAAGCUGGUGACGUAUCCUACAAGGAACAGAGCGCCGCGACGGCGGCCAGGGCACGCGUCGAACUUGAUGGCGUCUCGGCUGAGAAGAGCGUCGCCGCGGCAAGGGAACAGAGAAGCUUGAAAGCUGGCGACUUGUCGCACCAAGAAAGCAACAACAUGGCAGCAUCCACGAUGAAGCUGCAAAGUGACUCCUUCAGCUCAGAAAAGAAAGCCAUGGCGGCACAGCAGCAAAGACAAACGGUCACCUCGACCGGCAUCUUCAACCAAGAGAAGCACAUGUUGACCACCAGCUCGCAGUCGAGCAUCACGAUAGCCUCAAACGGAGUGGCCUCAAAGUCCUCGAUGAUCAGCGCAGCGAAUGCAGUGAAUCAGUUAAUGAACGGCAUGAGGCCAGCCGAAGACGAGCUACUCGCUUUACCCUUGGACGAUCUCGAUCUCCUCUGUUCAAAGUCGAAUCCUCAGGACGUCGAUCGCGCCAUCGCCAAGUACUCCAACUUCUUGGACAGCUUCGUGGAGCGUCUGAAGGCGAACGACGGGAAGAACGGCAAGGCUCCGUUGCUUCUGAACAGAGUGAACGAGAUAAUCAGAAAAGCCUGGGCUGUACCGACUCAUGGACACGAGUUGGGUUACACCUUGUGCAAUACCUUGAGGACGAGAGGAGGCCUUGAUCUCCUCAUGUCUAAUUGUGUGGCCAGCGACCAGGAUCUGCAGUUCUCCUCGGCCAGGUUGCUGGAACAAUGUCUGACCACCGAGAACAGAGCGCACGUGGUGGAACACGGGCUCGAGAAAGUGGUGAACGUUGCGUGCGUCUGUACGAAGAACGCCAACUCGGUGGACCACUCCAGAGUGGGCACCGGUAUCUUGGAACACCUGUUCAAGCACAGCGAAGGGACCUGCAGCGACGUGAUCAGGCUAGGUGGUCUGGACGCCGUGCUGUUCGAGUGCAGGAAGAACGACGUCGAGACGUUGAGACACUGUGCAGGUGCUUUGGCUAAUUUAUCCUUGUACGGUGGUGCGGAGAACCAGGAGGCCAUGAUCAAGAGAAAAGUGCCCAUGUGGCUGUUCCCUCUGGCGUUCCACAACGACGACAAUAUCAAAUACUAUGCCUGCCUGGCCAUCGCUGUACUGGUAGCCAACAAAGAAAUAGAAGCCGCGGUGCUGAAAUCGGGCACCUUAGACCUGGUCGAGCCAUUUGUCACCUCGCACAAUCCUUACGAGUUCGCUAAAUCCAACCUGGCACACGCUCACGGUCAAAGCAAGAACUGGCUGGAGAGGCUGGUACCCGUGUUGAGCUCGAAGCGAGAGGAAGCCAGGAACCUGGCCGCCUUCCACUUCUGCAUGGAAGCGGGUAUUAAAAAGCAACAGGGUAACACGGAAAUAUUCCGCGCCAUUGGAGCGAUUGAACCUCUGAAGAAAGUCGCCAGUUGUCCCAACGCCAUCGCCUCCAAGUACGCGGCACAAGCUCUGCGGCUGAUCGGUGAGGAGAUCCCGCACAAACUCAGUCAGCAAGUUCCUCUCUGGUCGACGGAGGAUGUCCGGGAAUGGGUGAAGCAAAUCGGGUUCGCGGAAUGCGCGCAGAACUUCGUGGAGAGCAGGGUGGAUGGUGAUCUCCUGCUGCAACUGACCGAGGAGAAUCUCAAGGAAGAUAUAGGACUCACGAACGGUAUCAGAAGGAGACGGUUCACCAGAGAGUUACAGAACCUGAAGAAAAUGGCAGACUACAGCAGUCGAGACACGGGUAACCUGAACAGCUUCCUGCAGUCGAUUGGUCAGGAGUUCUCCAUCUACACGUACAGUAUGCUCAACGCUGGCGUUGACAAGGACUCGAUCAGAAAUCUGUCGGAAGAUCAGCUUCAGACAGAGUGCGGGAUCACAAACAGUAUUCACCGGUUAAGGAUACUGGACGCCAUCAAGAACAUGCAACACAAUCAGUUGGGCUCGUGCGAAGACGAGUCGCCCGACAAAUCCUUGGAUGUGUUCGUUAGUUAUAGGAGAUCGAACGGAUCUCAAUUGGCCAGUUUAUUGAAGGUCCAUUUGCAAUUACGUGGUUUCUCUGUGUUCAUCGACGUCGAGAGGCUAGAAGCUGGGAAAUUUGACAAUAACCUACUGCAGAGCAUCAGACAAGCGAAACACUUCCUCCUUGUGCUCACGCCCAAGGCUUUGGAAAGGUGUAUACAAGACACUGAGUGCAAGGACUGGGUUCAUAGGGAGAUUGUAGCAGCUCUACAGUCGCAGUGUAACAUAAUACCCAUUAUAGACAACUUCCAGUGGCCAGAGCCUGAAGAACUCCCUGAAGACAUGCGAGCAGUAUGUCAUUUCAACGGUGUACGGUGGAUCCAUGACUACCAGGACGCAUGCGUAGACAAGCUUGAAAGGUUUAUGCGAGGCGAGAUACCAGUCAGAUCAGAUAUUCCAAGGAGUAUCGCGCCCAAAGAUGUGACCCAACCGAACACGCCGGGUAACACAAACAUUCGACAACCACCCAAUUACCAACGUAUGCACAGUAACGAAAGUAGGGGUAGCGACAAGGAUUCAACAGGUGGGCGAGAUUGACUAGAAGGCCCGCCCACAGCCAUACCGAGCAGCCAGGAUUAACAAUCACGCUAAAGACAAUCGAUCAUGACUAGGCUUAGAAAAUCGUCGAGUCCGUCCCGUUGGUUAAUGGGUUUACCGC